rnacentral:rRNA from 1 species
AGUGAACGCUGGCGGUAGGCCUAACACAUGCAAGUCGAACGGCAGCACAGUAAGAGCUUGCUCUUACGGGUGGCGAGUGACGGACGGGUGAGGAAUACAUCGGAAUCUACUUUUUCGUGGGGGAUAACGUAGGGAAGCUUACGCUAAUACCGCAUACGACCUACGGGUGAAAGCAGGGGAUCUUCGGACCUUGCGCGAUUGAAUGAGCCGAUGUCGGAUUAGCUAGUUGGCGGGGUAAAGGCCCACCAAGGCGACGAUCCGUAGCUGGUCUGAGAGGAUGAUCAGCCACACUGGAACUGAGACACGGUCCAGACUCCUACGGGAGGCAGCAGUGGGGAAUAUUGGACAAUGGGCGCAAGCCUGAUCCAGCCAUACCGCGUGGGUGAAGAAGGCCUUCGGGUUGUAAAGCCCUUUUGUUGGGAAAGAAAAGCAGCAGGUUAAUACCCCGCUGUUCUGACGGUACCCAAAGAAUAAGCACCGGCUAACUUCGUG